rnacentral:misc_RNA from 1 species
GCUGAUAAGAUGGAGUGUAUUGCUGCAAAAGAAUUCCAAUAGAAGUUCAGAUUGCUAUUACAAUAAAAAGGCUCCAUUUGCUUAAUUAGUAUCAUUACUGAGAAAACGCCAAAACAAAAUUUCCCAUUUUCUCUGAUAUCUGGUCAAUAAGCUUUGAACAACAACAGGUGGUGUUGUGCUACCAAUUAAAACUACAGUAAGAAAGCAAGAAAAGAGAAGGAAUAAAUAAUUGUUUUUUUCUUGUGAGAACCAGUGGAAUGUUUCUAAUCUAAAACAUCCAUUUGCAGCAAUGCAGCAGGAAGCAAGUCUUGCAGUUAUGCCUGUUUUCAUAGGCCCUUUUUUUUCCUUUGUCCUCCCUUUAGAAAUAUACUUUCUCUAAGUUAGUAUUUAAGAUUAUACCUCCAU